rfam:Schistosoma curassoni strain Dakar, Senegal genome assembly, scaffold: SCTD_scaffold0014587
AUCUAGCUGACGUAUCCCGAAUAGGAUGAAACGUGAGUUUUGGAU